GAUGGGGGACGUGGGGGUGGAUCCCGGGAAGGAAGAAAACGGGUGUGGGAGGCCCCGUGCGGUGUCUGUGUCUGCGUGGACGGAGGGCGUCUGGGGCGGCCUCACGGCAGGGCCUGGGGCAGGGGCCGCUGGGAGACACCGAGGUGGGAAAGGGUGGCCUGGGGGGCGUGGGGGCCCUGGGAGGAGCUGAAAGGGGCGCAGAGGAGCCCCUCGGAUAUGGAGAGGGCUGGGGAGCCCUGAGAGGAAGCGGGUGACAGGCGUGCUGGACUCUGAGCAGCCGUAGGCGUGACGGGGCCAGAGGGGGAGGCGGGCGCGUGUGGAGUCGGAGGUGCCGCGGAGCGCGCCACGUGUGAAGCUGCCUAGGGCGACGCUGGGGACUGUGUGAGGAACCGCGUGGGCAGCCGUGAAAGCGUUCGAGGGACCGGCAGGAACGGAGCGAGCCGGCGUGGGAAUGCGUGAGACAGGGCGGGCGCCACCACGGGGACCCGCGAGGUGCUCACUGGGAGACGCACAGGGAACUCGGCGGUGGCUGUGUGGGGACAGAGAACCGGGUGAAUUGUGAGGAGCUGUGUGGCCUGUGUGAGGAGUUCCAAGAGACUAAGAACACCUGGGGCUGCAGGAAGAACUGAGAAGGCGUGUGGCCUGAGUGGGGAACUGUGGAGAGUGGAGUGGGGAUCCCGAGUGGGAGCCAGGCGAGGAAACUGAGGGCCCCUGUGGGGAUCUGUGUGUGUGUGUGUGCGUGGAGCUGUGUGUGUGUGUGUGUGUGUGUGUGUGUGUGGAGCUCUGUGUGUGUGUGUGGAGCUGUGUGUGGAGCUGUGUGUGUGUGUGUAGCUGUG
rnacentral:lncRNA from 1 species